rnacentral:rRNA from 1 species
AGGAUGAACGCUGGCGGCGUGCCUAAUACAUGCAAGUCGAACGAGGUGCUUUUGUAGCAAUACUAGAGUAUCCUAGUGGCGAACGGGUGAGUAACGCGUUGGUGACCUACCCCAAAGUGUGGAAUAACAGUCCGAAAGGAUUGCUAAUACCGCAUGUGGUUAUCGGGCUUAGAAACUGAUAACUAAAGGAGCAAUUCGCUUUGGGAGGGACCUGCGUCCCAUCAGCUAGUGGUGAGGUAACGGCUCACCAAGGCUACGACGGGUAGGGGACCUGAGAGGGUCGACCCCCCACAAUGGAACUGAAACACGGUACCAUACACCUACGGGUGCAGCAGUAGGGAAUAUUGCACAAGUGGGACGAAAGCCUAGAUGCGAGCAACGGCCGCGUGUGCGAUGGAACGGUCCGUUACGGG